GGUGUAUGGAAUGGAGGCUGAUCCAAGAUCCUCCUCGAGUGCGAAACAAAUGCCGUUUUUUUGGUUUUGUGUUUGCUCUCUUGGGGGGUCUCGGACCAGGCUUCAUUCCUCACACC
rfam:Sorghum bicolor cultivar BTx623 chromosome 8, whole genome shotgun sequence.